rnacentral:lncRNA from 1 species
GGCACCAGAGAUCGCAGUUUACAAGGGCAAGGUACUUCUGAUGGUCCCUAAAACCCUUGUUCUCUCUGACUAUGGGACAGCCAUUGGGAAAGACAAUUCAUUUUGUCCUUGUGAGAUCUCCAAGCAUGUGUGACAGCAGACAGAAACAGUUCCACAGUCAGUUUAUGUUGUCAUCUAAGACAGGGUGUCAUGUAGUGCAGGCUGGCCUUGAACUCACAACGCCCUUGAACCCCUGCUCCUCCCGCUUCCAUCUCCUGUGUGUCAGGAUUGCAUGCAUGUGCUACCAUACCUGACUAGAAAGUAAGCUGUAGUAAUUUACCCAGGGCCAAUCAAGGACCAGGUGGCGAGACGGAGAUGUGACCAAUUCAACAGAUUGCAGAUGUCUCUUCAAGUUUCUGCAUGCAAAGCCCCUUGUCCUCGGAUAUAGAUCAAGCUAAAGUUGGCCAUGAAUCUCUGGGCUCCCUUGGUGACUCAUACCCUGUGGGGUCAGGCCGAAGCCAAGUCCAGCCACAGCUUUGAACCUGGUGCCCUGAGAGUAACUCUGUGAUGCUUCUAGGCUUCCAAGUGGAGGAUGCUUCAGUCAUCACCCCCUGAGGUGGAUGUGUGUGGCCUAAAUAACCCUACAAUUUGUUAAAUGUAUCUUACCCUGAUGUGCCUAUGCACUGUCAGAGAUACGGAAGACAGCCAUGGUAGUGUCUGGCUUAGUUCGGAUGGAGCCAGCUCGGCUCCCAGUCUACCCCACCCGAUACUGCGCUCAGCAGGGCUCAGCAUCAGAGCUGACUGGCAGUGAAGUGGAUGCCUGCCAUCCCAGAGUCCAUCUGCCUCUGCUCUCCGAAUAAUUGGUGGAUACACUUGUCAGACAAGUGAUGAGAGCCGUGCAGAAAGGAAGGUAGCCAUGUGCCCCCGGCCAGGCCUCUGCAUCUUAACCGGUUCAGACUGACCUGGCAUCUGAGGAGGAAUUCUGCAGAACAGAAAAGCCCUAAAAAAUAUCCAUUGUUUUGUGUAUGAGGAAACUUGGGGCCAGCUUGAAUGUGCCUGAGGCCCCCAGAGCUGGUCCAGCAGCAAGGCUAGGACUGGAUACAGCUCUCUGCCCCCUUCUCUUUGUCCUCAAUGCCCUAGACUGGUGGAUUAGCCUGUGUCCCCACCCCACUUGCUCAGCUGCCUCUGGCCCACCCACAUGAAGCCCAGGUUAGGGCAGAGGUUCCACAGGGCCCCUUGGCACUGACCCCAGGGCACAGACCAUCUGAGCCCCACUGUUCCAUCUUCUGCCAUGCUGUUGUCAAGAUGCUGGCCUCUGUCUUUCCUUCUUGGGGCUGACCUAGAAGAAGAGGCCAGUGGAUAGGACGGUUGGUUUCACCCUGCAUGUGGGCAGUAACUGGUCAGAAGGAGGCCCACACAUGUCUUUCCUGGUUUGGACUCAAUGGAUCCUUGUCUGCUUCCCAUUGGAGGAAACAGUCCCACAGAGGUCCCACAUCCUGUCCAGGUCUCUGUGGCAUGAUAGGAAAUGAUAGGAAGCCCCAGCACUCUCCUAUGUCCUCCUCAGACCCUGCUCUGAGAGCCAGCUUCCAAUGAAGAUAUGCUAGCAGUCAACAAAGCCACAAAUUGGGGUUGGGCAGCCCCUGAGUCUUGGUGGGCUUUAUUAAGUCAUGUGACUCUGCUCUGGGUGGUGGCCAAUGGUGGUAGGGAGAGAUUGGCUUUAGAAAGUCAGGUAGAUCUGGGUUCGAAUCUCAGCCUGGCUGCUGCCAUCCAUAUACUAUGGAACAAAAUGCUUAGAGCAAAGCCUGUGUUGACAGGGCCAUGAGUAGUUAAGAAAGCUGGAAAAUCGCCCUUCUUCAUCAUCCUGUUUCAGUGAUCGGGGGAUAACCAGGAAGAGAGACAGAUGAGCAGACAGUUGCGCUCUGGCACGAUUUCAUUGUGAGUUCCU